CAUGGAUCAGUGUGAGGACAGAGAGGAGGGAGUCCCUCCCUCUAAAAGCACUCAGAGGAACAAACCUGGACCUGAAACCAGCCCUGAAUCAGGACCUGAGCCCAGCUGUGUGUCCAUGAAGAGUGACCGGUCGAUGGAUCAGAUUAUUGAGUUCAAAGCUGGAGUUUCCUUAGACCAACAGAAUCAGCCUGAACCAGAACCAGAACCAGAACCCAGCUGUGUGUCCUUUAAGAGUGACCGGUCAAUGAAUCAUCCUCCUGAGUUCAGCUCAGAGGAACAGAGAGUGGACCAGCAGAGCUCAGAGCUUCCCACUGGUCAGUCUGCCCAGCAGCAUCAAACACAGCU